GGCACCAGGAGACAAACGACGACGUUCGCAUUCAUAGCUCCCUGCAGAUGCCUCAGAGGUUGAGGCACCUCCAUCGAUCUUUGUUGCCGCACCGGCUUCACUGUCAGAGGGUCUUGCACCGACAGGUCUUAGUAAGGUGGGUCCCAAUGAGGUGAGUCCUCAUUGAUGGUGAGGCGAGGGCGAGGUCCAUCGAAGAACCUCGUUGUGAAGCGUUGGAGAUGCGAGCACCCGGGACAGCAUCUCCGGAUCGAGAUACCGACUGGCUACACCAGACCCAUUAGAAGAUGGUGUGACACAUGACAGACUGAGCUAGGCAUCAUAUGCCACAGUUAUGCCCCUGUGACACUCUUCGAUUGGCAUCACGUUCUACCGGCUCAGAGAGAUAUUUUCUACACCCAUUUAUAGCUAAAAUAAAUUAUAUUAUGAAUAUUUAAUUUGCAUAGUAUUCUUCUAAUAUUUAUUAUUGGCAGGGUGUAUUUGAUAUCACUGAUUUUGAGGAGGAUCAUGUGAGGCGAGCCAUCGACAUUCAGUUAUCAUUGCGUUUCAAGAACUAUCACCAUCACAUGCAUCAGAUUGGUAUCGGGUGGUGCAGGAUUAUGGGGAGGAGGCAGCACCGUAGCAGCUCUGUGACAGCAUCACCAUAGAUAAUUGGACUACUAUAUGCCGACAGUAUGAGGAUCUGGCAUAUCAGAGAUGAUGUGCCCAAAAUGUGACGAACCAGACGAGACAGACCGUGCCACAUUGUGGGGCUUCGAGAUCGUUUGCUCGUCACAUGGAGCACAUAAGAGAUGCUGAGAGUGGCGAGCUUCCUAGUAGGAUCGAUAUCUACCAGCGGACCCACCAGUGACGGUCGGAAGAGUGGAUGAUGGGGAGCCAGGAGCUCUUUGAUGUUAAUGAAAUGGACACCGCUAAAGAAGAUGUUUUAAAGACAAGCUGCGUAAAUGUAGGAGAGCAAGAGGAAUGUAGGAUGUCUAAUUUUUCUAAUAUUGGUUCCAACAUCACAUCUUCCAUGAACAUUCGGGAGGGCCUGUUUUAGGUAUGACCUUUGAAAAGAGAAACGAGACAACUAGAACAAACAGAGAGACGAUCCCAGCAGGAACGGGAUUCUAUAAAAUAGAAGCAAGACAUAUUCAGAUAACUUAAUAUUUUUUUAUUGAAAUUAAUUUAAUACUUUGAUCUUGUCUUGCGGAAGCUUGACUCAACUAUUCUGAUUGGCUGCACUUUAUUCGUUACUGACUGGAGUUGUAUCUUUUAAGUGAAAGAAGUAUUCAUUCACCUUCAAGCAAAUCCACCGUUGCAUCAUCCACCGCACAAUUUCAAAGUGCUUUAAAUUUUGUCAUUCAUCUAUUUGCACAUACCUCAAAGCAACUAGUGGAUGACACAAUC